UAAUACCGGAUAGAUCAAAGAUACUGGAAUGUUCCUUGAUCCAAAGCUCCGGCGUCCAAGGAUGGAUCUGCGGCCUAUCAGGUAGUAGUGGGUGUAACGUACCUACUAGCCUACGACGGGUACGGGUUGUGAGAGCAAGAGCCCGGAGAUGGAUUCUGAGACAUGAAUCCAGGCCCUACGGGGCGCAGCAGGCGCGAAAUCUUUACAAUGCAGGAAACUGCGAUAAGGGGACCCCGAGUGCCAGCAUCUAAUGCUGGCUGUCCAGCUGUGUAAAUAGCAGUUGUUAGCAAGGGCCGGGCAAGACCGGUGCCAGCCGCCGCGGUAACACCGGCGGCCCGAGUGGUAACCGAUUUUAUUGGGUUUAAAGGGUCCGUAGCCGGCCUAUUAAGUCUCUUGGGAAAUCUGGCGGCUCAAUCGUCAGGCGUCC
rnacentral:rRNA from 1 species